CGAAACCGAAACUCUGGUAUUGAUUGGUGCUUGCAUCAUGAUUUACAUUUGAGUGAGUGGCGAACUGGUGAGUAACACGUGGGAAACCUGCCCAGAAGCGGGGGAUAACACCUGGAAACAGAUGCUAAUACCGCAUAACAACUUGGACCGCAUGGUCCGAGUUUGAAAGAUGGCUUCGGCUAUCACUUUUGGAUGGUCCCGCGGCGUAUUAGCUAGAUGGUGGGGUAACGGCUCACCAUGGCAAUGAUACGUAGCCGACCUGAGAGGGUAAUCGGCCACAUUGGGACUGAGACACGGCCCAAACUCCUACGGGAGGCAGCAGUAGGGAAUCUUCCACAAUGGACGAAAGUCUGAUGGAGCAACGCCGCGUGAGUGAAGAAGGGUUUCGGUCGUAAAACUCUGUUGUUAAAGAAGAACAUAUCUGAGAGUAACUGUUCAGGUAUUGACGGUAUUUAACCAGAAAGCCACGGCUAACUACGUGCCAGCAGCCGCGGUAAUACGUAGGUGGCAAGCGUUGUCCGGAUUUAUUGGGCGUAAAGCGAGCGCAGGCGGUUUUUUAAGUCUGAUGUGAAAGCCUUCGGCUCAACCGAAGAAGUGCAUCGGAAACUGGGAAACUUGAGUGCAGAAGAGGACAGUGGAACUCCAUGUGUAGCGGUGAAAUGCGUAGAUAUAUGGAAGAACACCAGUGGCGAAGGCGGCUGUCUGGUCUGUAACUGACGCUGAGGCUCGAAAGUAUGGGUAGCAAACAGGAUUAGAUACCCUGGUAGUCCAUACCGUAAACGAUGAAUGCUAAGUGUUGGAGGGUUUCCGCCCUUCAGUGCUGCAGCUAACGCAUUAAGCAUUCCGCCUGGGGAGUACGGCCGCAAGGCUGAAACUCAAAGGAAUUGACGGGGGCCCGCACAAGCGGUGGAGCAUGUGGUUUAAUUCGAAGCUACGCGAAGAACCUUACCAGGUCUUGACAUACUAUGCAAAUCUAGAAGAUUAGACGUUCCCUUCGGGG
rnacentral:rRNA from 1 species